rnacentral:snoRNA from 1 species
CCUCCUUUUCUUGGCAGGACGGGCGGUGCGGUGCCCGGAUCUGUAAUGUCCGGAGGUAGAGGAAAGGCUAGCCAGUGUUCUUUCUUCGGUGCCAGCGGUAUUUCUAUCUGCUGGUUCUAUCCUCAAGCACUGGUACAAAC